UUGAUGACAACAACAAUGACAAAAAUAAUAACAGUAUAAGUGACAUUGACAAAGACUAUUGGUGUGGCAGUGACAAUAACAACAUUAACAAUAAUGACAAUUGCAAAAUUUUUAUUGAGAGAUGUGUGAAUAAAAAAAACACAAAAAAGUUAUUCUAAUUUAUUAAAAUAAUAUUCUAGGUAGGUAAUAUUUGAUUAUGUAAAUA
rnacentral:lncRNA from 1 species